GCCGGGAUGGUCUAAUCGGUUAAGGCGUCGCCCCCGAGAGGCGAAGGUUGCGGGUUCCAUUCCCGCUCCUGGCC
rnacentral:tRNA from 1 species